rnacentral:rRNA from 1 species
GGGCCCGCACAAGCGGUGGAGCAUGUGGUUUAAUUCGAAGCAACGCGAAGAACCUUACCAGUCCUUGACAUGGGUAGUUUGGUUAUUGGAGACAAUUUCCUUCAGUUCGGCUGGCUACCACACAGGUGCUGCACGGCUGUCGUCAGCUCGUGUCGUGAGAUGUUGGGUUAAGUCCCGCAACGAGCGCAACCCUCAUCUUUAGUUGCCAUCGGUUCGGCCGGGCACUCUAAAGAAACUGCCUGCGAUGAGCAGGAGGAAGGCGGGGACGACGUCAAGUCAUCAUGGCCCUUAUGGACUGGGCUACACACGUGCUACAAUGGCGGUGACAACAGGCAGCGAAGGGGUGACCUGGAGCAAAUCCUAAAAAGCCGUCCCAGUUCGGAUUGUACUCUGCAACUCGAGUACAUGAAGUUGGAAUCGCUAGUAAUCGCGGAUC